GACGAACGCUGGCGGCGUGCUUAACGCAUGCAAGUCGAACGGAAAGGCCCCUUUGGGGGUCCUCGAGUGGCGAACGGGUGAGUAACACGUGAGUAACCUGCCCUUGACUUCGGGAUAACUUCAGGAAACUGGGGCUAAUACCGGAUAGGAAUCCUUGCUGCAUGGUGGGGGUUGGAAAGCUUCGGCGGUUUUGGAUGGACUCGCGGCUUAUCAGCUUGUUGGUGGGGUAGUGGCUUACCAAGGCUUUGACGGGUAGCCGGCCUGAGAGGGCGACCGGCCACAUUGGGACUGAGAUACGGCCCAGACUCCUACGGGAGGCAGCAGUGGGGAAUAUUGCACAAUGGGCGGAAGCCUGAUGCAGCAACGCCGCGUGCGGGAGGACGGCCUUCGGGUUGUAAACCGCUUUCAGCAGGGGCGAAGCUUGUGGUGACGGUACCUGCAGAAGAAGCACCGGCUAACUACGUG
rnacentral:rRNA from 1 species